rnacentral:rRNA from 1 species
UACGUAGGGUGCGAGCGUUGUUCGGAAUUACUGGGCGUAAAGCGCGCGCAGGCGGGCGUGUAAGUCGGGGGUGAAAUUUCAGGGCUCAACCCUGGAACUGCUUCCGAUACUGCACGUCUAGGGACCGGUAGAGGUCGGUGGAAUUCCCGGUGUAGCGGUGGAAUGCGUAGAGAUCGGGAAGAACACCCGUGGCGAAGGCGGCCGACUGGGCCGGAUCCGACGCUGAGGCGCGAAAGCGUGGGGAGCAAACAGG